AUUAGUGUGUUGAUCUGUUGCAUCAUAUCCAUUCUGACAGAGGUUUUGUUCGACAGGUGACGAUGAUGGAGGCUGCACGGGAGGCUGAGACACAGUUGGCACAGGUUGUGAUUGAGCAUCUGGAUGUGUUUCCCAUUCCUGACAACGACGCUAUGGACACAGGUAAGCUGUGAAACACUGUUGUUGAACGAAUGGGA